CCGUUACAGAGAACUAUCUCUGUGUUACUAUAUACAAUCUCAAGGUAUAUAGGUAAUGACUGAAGCUGCUGAAGGGAGUGCGGGAUGGCUUCAGCAGUUUUAAAGAUAUCCAUCAAGUGAUUAAUAAAAAUAAAUCUUUGAAGAGUAAAACUGUUACAAGUAAAGAAAAUAUGAUCCAAGGUUUGUUCAGAAUGAUUACAGUAAUUACAAACGGGUGAAGACAAUAUAUUCAAUCUAUGAAGAUGAGCAUUAAAUCGACAGUGACCAAGUCUAAGACGGCAAAUAGUAGAAUAAAAUUUCCUGUCAUGAAAUGAAACACCUUUAGUAAACCAUGGGACUGACAACUCCUGUUUAAUCUUAGAAUACCAUUUUCCUUUGGUUUCCAUGGUCUGUUUCCAAAAAUUUGUAAAUUCGAUUUUAAAGGUUUCUUUUAUUUUGACUAAAACGUCAGAUUCUGGAAGACAUAUGUUUUUAAUACAAUGCUCCUGAGAACAAGUAGUUAUAGCUCUUGCUAAAAAAUCGGCUUGUUCAUUUCCCUUAACACCAAUAUGUGACGGUGACCAGACUAAAACUAUAGUUUUUUUGUUUAAUGUUGUUAAUUUUGUAUAUUUUUCUCUAAUAUCAUGGAUAAUAUAGUUAGUUGUAGCACAAAAUUUGGGGUUAUUUAAGUUUUGAAGAACGCUAAGACUAUCGGACACUAUAAUCCAUUUAUCAUAAACUUGAGUUUCAAUAUACUCUAAUGCAGACAGAACUGCUAAACACUCAGCAGUAAAAAUACUUGUUAAAUUUGGAAGCCUAAUACCAUAUCCUUUCUUAUCCUGUUUAAUAUAUAUGGCUGCUGAUACCGCCUCAGAAGUCUUUGAACCAUCAGUAUAGACUUGUUGAUAACCAACUAGGUUACUUAGUAAAAGGUAGACAUCUUCUUUGCACUUCAAAGAAUUAUCAAUUACAAUUUUUAGUGGAAAAUAUUUAGAGCUAAAUGUGCUCAUAUAGCAAGGCCAUAAGUCACUUUCAUAUAAGUUAUAGUCUUGCUUUAUUUUUACAAUUUCAGGUAGGUAAUGUAAUAAAAUAGAAGAAGAAGAACCACUCUGCAAUUUUACAAGAAGAGGAUGAUUUUUAAUGGAUGAAAUUCUCAACAAAAACCUGUAUAUUAAAUAUUUAAAGCGAAUUUUCAAAGGAGGGAUGUUACAUUCAACCUGCAUUGAUAUUAUGGGUGUGGAACACAUCGCACCAAGCACAAUCCAGCUGAUGUCCAAGCCCAGAUCAUCAUAAUAGGCCUUAAGGCCAAGGAGAGCAACUCUGAGAUUUUCAAUAGCUGCAGACAACUUGUCUGCAGUACAAUAUAUAGUUAAGUCAUCUACAAACUGUAGGUAAUUGUAAAGAAGUUAAAAUAGUUGAAAGUUUUUCCAAAUUGACAUUAUUAUAUGCGCCAACAACAUCAAAGAAAAUACCAACCAAUAUUGAAUUACAAGACAGAGCAUUGUGAAUGUCCAAACAAAAAUGACUCAAGCUCUCUCUAGCCGAACGGCCACGCCGAAAACCGAACUGAUUACUAGAUUCGUGUGAAGAGGAAAACUUUCAAAUGUCUGUGACAAGUUACUAUGGGGAGAGAAUGAUGGAGAAAGAUUCAAUGUUGUCAGAGUUGGUAAAUGAUAACUACCUAACGAGUCUGAAGAAACUUGCCAUUCACAAAAUAAUGCUAACGACGCCGAAACAAAAGUCAAAUCUAGUGCAUUUGGCUUCCAUCUAUGCGACCCUACAGUGGUUGGACGUCCAUCAUUCAAGAGAACCAAAUCAUUCUCAUCAGCGACAUCAACAAUAUCUCUCCCUCGCGCGUCAACUUUGCCGCAACCCCAUAAAGUAUGAUGCGCGUUAAAGUCUCCAGCCAAAAUUAUCGGUUUCGGAAUAGUGUGUAUUAAAUCAUUAAAUUUUUUCUUAUUAAAUUCAGGAGUACAGCUUCCUGGGCUGUAAAAACUUACAAUCGAAAUUUGUUUCUGAAAAAUUUGAAUCUGAACAACAAUAUUUUGUAAAGAAUCAUCAUAAAAUGUAUUAAUUUUGUUAUAGACUAUAGUGUUAUGAAUUAAUAUGGCUACUCCAUUGUGAUUAUUACCACAGUCAUUUCUCACAAUAGAGUAUCCUUUCAUGUUAAAUGUGAUAUGUGGUUUGAGCCACGUUUCACUAAUUAUACAAAUGUGGAUGGAAUUAUCUAAUAGAAAUUUUUGUAGUUCAUAUUUAUUACUUGGCAAGCUUUGACUGUUCCAUUGCAUAAUAUUUACUUGGGCAGAGAAUGUGAAAGAUUGUUAUUUUUUUCUUUUAUAGUUUCUUUUAUUGUUUCUGAAAGAAGCUGUGAGUUUAUGCUUGCAUUUUGAGUCUUGUUCAGAGUAAUAGCUUUAAUUAAACAUUCUGUGAGUAACGUAAGUGCGUUUUUAUUUGAGAGAAGUACAUUUAAUAAGUCUUUACUAUUUGUGUUUUCAUUCAAUGAAGGGAAAUUUUGUAAUUUAUUAUUAAAAAGGUCUGCAUAUGAUGUAGUUGUA